CUUAUCUUCUUCAGCACAUUUGCUGAUCGUAAGAACAGCCUCUGUCUUCUCCAACCAUCGCAGAGCAGCCGUGGCACCUUCACUGCCCGCGAACUCAGUUGGUUUACAGGCUAGAAAUUCUUUGUAGGUACACCCGAGAGUCAUCGCCUUCUUCUUCUUAGGAAAUGGGAUUUUGGUAAUAUCAUUAUUAUCACUAUUGACACUAUGGUUAAAACUAUCGUCACAGGUAUGCUUACUGCUCAUAGCUUUGGUGGGUUCUAUGGGAUUUUUAACAGCUUUAAUUAUUAAAGGGCUUUCCGAAUCAAAACAAGUCGUCUGCGAUGCUGCUAAGAUCCAUGGUGUUUUUUAUCUUCAAUUCAAUUCAUCCAAUGAAGGAAUUAACUGAUGCUGAAAAGAAAAAUAGCAGGAAGCUUAAGCCACUAAAGGUGGAAACAAUGUCUUCAUCAAACAUAGUAAACGAGGAGGAUGGACUACCUUCCCAUUCAUAUAAUCAUAUUAGGUUCUUUUUCUCUUUCUUUCU